UGCCGGAUAGCCAAGCAGGUAAGGCGGCGCACUGUUAAUGCGCUCAUGCGCUGGUUCGAAUCCAACCGGCAGCCG
rnacentral:tRNA from 1 species